UUUGAAUCUUUUGGGGUGUCUUUGACUGUCUCAUCAUUGAUGUUAGUCUGGUAGUUGCUUUACCCGGGACCAGUUCGGGCUGUGCCAUCCAUCAGCAGGAAGAACGGCAGAGAAUAACAGAGCUUCUGCUGCCUCGUGUAAAGGGGGCCUGCCUGAAAUUCCCUUAACCAUCCGUCACUCACAGGCUCAUUUUUCAGGGAAACAGGAACUCACUACAAAUGAAGGCUGAUACAGAAAAGCUUCUCACAGAAACUAAAUAAUGUAACAUAUUCCAGGUUCUGGGCAGAUAAAAAUUGAAAAGGCUGUGGUGCUUGUGGAAGUGGAAUGAUAGCGACAAGCGCCAUGUGAAAUCCCUGAAGGUGGUGUCAGGGGACACGCUCCCCCAUAAAAUUAUGAAAGAAUCUGAUGUAAUGGUGCAUUGUGAGACAAUCUGAGCAUAAAUACCACAUUCUUUCCCAUUAAUGAUUGACUUUCAUUGUGCCAAGAUUUUUUUUAAAAAAAGAAUGUAGAUUUUGAGCACACUGAGAACAGGAAUUUCCAUUGUGAUAGUGCUGCAGUAAGAUUUAAAGAUUGUGGGGAACUAAGAAUUGAAAUGCAAAUCACUCUCACAUACAACCUCCUGCUGAGGCCCAAAUUUUUACAGAUCAGGUUCUGCAGCCCUGAUGGGGAAUCAGUGAUCUGCCUUUCCUAGGAUUCACAAAUUAGUAGUAGUCUAAGGUAUCAUUUUCUACAAUAUAAUUGUAACUUACCAGAUGAAAGUUUGCCACUGAAGGCAGUCCUCUGAUCGUCCAUUAUUUUUCCAGCUGCAUUGCCACUGAGGAUUCUUUCACAGACAAUGCAAAUAUACACAUCACAGCCUCCCUCUCUGAAACAUGCACUUCUUGAAUAUAAACACGUUGUGAAUAUUGUUUCCUUCUUCCUUUCUCCCUUGCUUUUUUUUUUUUUUUUUUGGAUAUGCAGGUGGUAAAAUACUGGCUGCCAUGAACUUCAUGUAAGAAAUAAAAAUUACCCACUUUUGGGGGCUGCUUGAUAGAAAACUGCCAGCUCGUAGCAUCGCUGCUGCUGUAAUCACUGCAAGGAUAAUAGGACAUACAUGCUUUUGUGGAUAAUUUUGUUUGCUAAUUGCUCAUGAAAUUUCAGGGAUUGUUUUAGGUCUUUGUGACAUGAUUGACACUGAGCUGAGAAGGAGGACAUGCACACUUCCGUCUAAUAAUGUGUGACAGGAGAGACGCAAAGAAGACAGGAAGAAGGGGAUAAAGCUGUGGACAGGGUGUCAAAAAUGUCCAAGUGCUUCCAGAACGUGGUUUUGUGUAUCUGCAACAAUGACAAUGCAUGUAAAAGUGGAAUCUCAUCCAUUUGUUGGGCUGGCUGCCAGACUAGCAGCACAAACAUGUGGCUGGGGAAAAGAUCCUGUUAAUAUUCAUCUGAUAACUGACUUGUUGAGAGAGUGGGAAAAUUAGGCUAUAUUCUUUUAGGACAGUUAAACCACAUGUGCCUAAAACUCAAGGAAGACCGGUAAACAAUGAGAGAGGACAUACUUCUCCCCAUAUCCCCCCCACACAUUCACACACAACCUAUGACAGUUUUGGGGGCUUCUGAUUUUCAUAAAGUGUUAUCUGCUGAAAAAUAAUUUCUACAGCUGAGCUACCUCUCUGACUCCUGGACCUUUGCUCUCUGCAGCUUUAUUGUCAAGGCAUUCAGAUACCAUAGAGAUGAAGAAUGUAGAUAGACUCACAGUCCAUGGAUCUAUUGACGGCACUGUUCCCUCUAAGCUGUGCGCAUGGGCACGUGCACACAGAUCCUAAAUCCUGCGCACAUGGCGAAACACCCCGCGCACAAAAAUUUGCACAGAAGUACAACAAUUUGCGCAGAAGAAAUUUUUUGCGCACACGGCCUGUCAAAAAUUAGAGGGACCAUUGAUUGAUGGACAACCACUUUAAACAGGAAAAAAGGGGGGAGGGUAGAUAUGCCAUGUUAAAGAUACAUAAGUAAAAAAGAUAAAAACUCAUGGAUGUACUUGAAAUUCCACCAUCCUUGGCUGUUUGGAAGAGGGAUGGAUAGCCAUAACCUAGAUUGUAGCUUAUUUGGGGCAAGAGAAUGUGUUUCCUAGUUUCCAGUCAAUGGGUAAGUCACUUGAAAUAAUAAUAAGCAUCAUGUGUAAAUAAUAACAAUAAUAAUAACACCCAGCCUGACAACAGACUUCUUCCAGGCCAGUCUGAUGCUACUCUAAAACCAACCACAACAUAGAGUGAAAAUAAAAAUACUAUGCACAUACAAUAGCUACUUAUAAUGAUCUCAAAGGAUUUUACAAGCAUUAAUUAAUCUACCCAACCAAAACGUUAUACAGCAGGUGGGUAUCAUUGUGUCCAUUUUAUUGAUGGGAACAGACACCUUAAGGUUAUAUACAGUUAGCCAGGUACAAUGCCUAACCUCAGGCUUUAGACCAAUGAGUGAAAGGAGAUAAGGGGGCUCACUUUGAUCCUGAGGACUGUGUCCAAAAUCUCGGGAUUUUUUGGUGGUACUGUAACAGAGUGUCACAGUGUACCACUUCCUGAGGUUUUGCAACAGGAAGGGUGAUGCUGAAUAGAAAAGAAGAGCAACAGCAAAAUGAAUCCUAUCUUGCAGAUUGCAAAGAAGAUUCUUGUUGAAUGUUUGCACCCCUUCAUUACUCAAAUUCACCUGAGGCAAGAGAGAAUGUUGUUUUCCUGAUUUUAAAUAAAUCAUGGCAAGUCCAAUGCAGUGCAGUGCUGAGCUCCUUCAACACCCACUGGAGAGCACUUGGUAUUUUGCAAGAUCAAUCCUUUGAUGUUAAUUGUUUUUUUUUAUGACCCCCUCCCACUGACCACCACCACCACCAAAAUUCUAGAAAGGAUUCCAUGAAGGGGGGAAGGGUCGUAAUUCAGAGGCAGAGCAGAGACUACAACCCAGGAGUUUAGGCUACCAGCCCCCUGCUGUAACUGAUAAAUGAUGCUUGUUAAGAGUAAACAAAACUGGGGGAUGCAGAAUAGAAGUAUGUUCAUACAUCUGCCAUCCUAGUAAUUCUGCAGGCAUACUUUUACUGUUCAAUGCACUCUAUGUUUGUUUGAAGAAACAAUGAGUUUCAGAAAAGAGAAAAAUAAGAACUUUAAGGAUAACCAGAACCCUGACUACAUACUUUACCAUAGGCAAUGUAGAAUAAGCUUCUGUACUCUUUAUUUUUAACACUUCAGAUAUGUAAUUUAAUGUGGGUCUAAUGACAGUCUUGAACAUACAGCUUUAAUUGAACUUGUACAAGCUCUGGACUGUGACAAGAACUCACAAGCUACCAGCGGGGCUGUCCAUUUUCCCUGCCUCUGCAAGGAAAAGAAAAGGAGGAAAAAAGAAAAAAAAACCCUCUUGAACUUAUGUUGCUAUUGAUGUGUAAUAUACAAUAAAAAAACAGUUAAAUUUCAAUUACCCACAGGUAAUUAUAAUUUUAUUGUUUGACUAUAGUAGGGG